GAUACUGAGGGGCGCUGCAACGGAGCCUUCUCCGCUACGCUCAGUCUCGUGCCAACUUUAAUUGCAAGGGCGCCCAUUCAUC
rnacentral:ncRNA from 1 species